UCACUUUAUUUUCUAAUAAGCUGUCGUUCUAAUUUCACAUCAAAUUCCUCAGUGUAAAGGUAGAAAACUUAUAAAAAUGUUGGUCUCAAAUACUCUCUUGCAUACUAGGAUGGUUAAGGAAUUAAUUUGUGUUUUUUUAAAAAGGCCAUGGUUUGUUUUCAGACGUCAAGUGUAUAAAACGGAAUUUCAAGCUAUAUUUACAAGACAUUAAAGGUACAAUUGUUAAUCUGUAUUUUUUUCAUAAUUCUGUUUCCAAAUCAUGAGUUAUUGCCUUCCAUAGGAAUCUUCACUUUUUACAACAUUGGGUACUGUGUUCUUCAACCAGAUAUUUCUCCACCCAGAGAGGGAAAGAUCCCUCUCCAGGAUCAGUGCCCUUGUAGACGUAGCAUCUGAAGAAUCACCUGGUGCAGUUUCAUCCUUCUUGGCUGUGUCUUUCCGUGCCCAGCGUCAGAUCCUGAGGCAGAUGCUGCAGGGCCUGCGGGACCUUCUUGCAGCAGCUCUGGCCAGUGCCGGGCCAUCUGAUGACCUUCAUUCUUCAGUCACUGAGAAAGUGCUGUUAUGUGACUACCGUAAUUAAAGCAAAGUAUGACAAAAUGAUCAGCCUGGCCAGCACUAAGCCUCUUGAGAGACCCUGUCGUAUCACUCUUCACUUUAUGGAGGAGAGCACUGGAUCACAGAAAGGGUGUUAAUUCCAAACCACUCUUCUGCAUCUGCUUCUGUUCUCCUGACUUACUUUUGCAGUUGGACAUAAUAUCAGCUUAGAUUUCCUGAUAGAUUGGUUGCUGCCCAGCCAGCCGUGCCUCCAUUUCAGAUUCCUCAGCGGCCCAGCACCACGGGGCUACCACGAGGGAGACGUUCUGAUGCGUGUACAAACGAUCCCGUCGAGAUCACCAAGUCCCUCAUCACUCCCUCCCAGGAGGAAGGUGUGCAAUUACCAAUACCCUGAAAGUCACAGAACCAUACGAAAAGUCCCAGUCCCUUUACCAUCAAUUAAUUCAAUAUCGAUUGUAAUUUAAUUACUGCCCUGUGAGCCAUCUAUGUUACGUGAAAGCUGUGAUCGCAGGGGCCAUUUGGAAGAACAUGUUGUUGUAAUAUGCAUUAAUAAUUUAU